rnacentral:rRNA from 1 species
AGCGAACGCUGGCGGCAGGCCUAACACAUGCAAGUCGAACGAACCUUUCGGGGUUAGUGGCGGACGGGUGAGUAACACGUGGGAACGUGCCUUUAGGUUCGGAAUAACUCAGGGAAAAUUGUGCUAAUACCGAAUGUGCCCUUCGGGGGAAAGAUUUAUCGCCUUUAGAGCGGCCCGCGUCUGAUUAGCUAGUUGGUUGAGGUAAUGGCUCACCAAGGCGACGAUCAGUAGCUGGUCUGAGAGGAUGAUCAGCCACAUUGGGACUGAGACACGGCCCAAACUCCUACGGGAGGCAGCAGUGGCGAAUCUUGCGCAAUGGGCGAAAGCCUGACGCAGCCAUGCCGCGUGAAUGAUGAAGGUCUUAGGAUUGUAAAAUUCUUUCACCGGGGACGAUAAUGACGGUACCCGGAGAAGAAGCCCCGGCUAACUUCGUG